GAUGAACGCUGGCGGCGUGCCUAAUACAUGCAAGUCGAGCGAACAGACGAGGAGCUUGCUCCUCUGACGUUAGCGGCGGACGGGUGAGUAACACGUGGAUAACCUACCUAUAAGACUGGGAUAACUUCGGGAAACCGGAGCUAAUACCGGAUAAUAUAUUGAACCGCAUGGUUCAAUAGUGAAAGACGGCUUUGCUGUCACUUAUAGAUGGAUCCGCGCCGCAUUAGCGAGUUGGUAAGGUAACGGCUUACCAAGGCAACGAUGCGUAGCCGGCCUGAGAGGGUGAUCCGCCACCCUGGAACUGAGACACGGUCCAGACUCCUACGGGAGGCAGCAGUAGGGAAUCUUCCGCAAUGGGCGAAAGCCUGACGGAGCAACGCCGCGUGAGUGAUGAAGGUCUUCGGAUCGUAAAACUCUUUUAUUAGGGAAGAACAAAUGUGUAAGUAACUAUGCACGUCUUGACGGUACCUAAUCAGAAAGCCCCGGCUAACUUCGUG
rnacentral:rRNA from 1 species